AACGAACGCUGGCGGCAGGCCUAACACAUGCAAGUCGAACGCUCCGCAAGGGGAGUGGCGCACGGGUGAGUAACACGUGGGAACCUACCUCCUGGUACGGAACAACCAAGGGAAACUUUGGCUAAGACCGUAUACGACCUCCGGGUGAAAGAUUGAUCGCCGGAAGAGGGGCCCGCGUCCGAUUAGGUAGUUGGUGAGGUAACGGCUCACCAAGCCUUCGAUCGGUAGCUGGUCUGAGAGGAUGACCAGCCACACUGGGACUGAGACACGGCCCAGACUCCUACGGAGGCAGCAGUGGGAAUAUUGGACAAUGGCGCAAGCCUGAUCCAGCCAUGCCGCGUGAGUGAUGAAGGCCUUCGGUU
rnacentral:rRNA from 1 species